GGGACAUCAGUAUGACUUUACUGAUGAUGACCUGGAAUAUAUGAUUAAUCAUGUUGACGUCUGCAGCAGGUCUACUGUAAGCCUUUAGAAAUAAUCCAAGAAACAGAGUCAAGACAGAACUAAAAUGUACAAUAGGAGAAACAUCACAAGAAGAUGCAUAGGAAGAAUUGUGAUGUGAUUUGAGCAAGACAAGGAUCUCCCCUGGCCUAUCAACUGCCCCAAGAUGGAGCUGCAUGCAUUCCAUCUGCUCCUCUGCAUGGAGCAUGACUUCUCACCUUUGCAGCCACCCUUUCCUGAAGAGCCUCUUUUUUCUUUUUCC
rnacentral:lncRNA from 1 species